AUGGAGAGCUUUAACGACUACAAGAUGGUGAACAACCGUGGCGUAGUCGAACAGGCUCAUGAAAUACAGGUCAUUGCAAAGGAGCUUGAACUACUCAAGUGCGUCCUACCUGACAAGUUUGUGGCUGGGUGCAUAAUUGCAAAGUUGCCUUCUUCGUGGAGGAACUUCGCCACAAUGCUCAAACAUAAGAGACAGGAGAUAUCGGUUGAAAACCUGAUAGCGUCUCUUGAUGUUGAGGAGAAAGCUCGGGCUAAGGAUGCUCAUGAGAGAGGUGUUGAGGGUCAGUCUAGCGCCAACAUGGUGCAGAAAAACUCACACUACAAGAACAGCAACAACAAUCUCUAUGUUCACUUCUUAUCAGGUCGUCCGAGAUUCUCCCGUCAUAAUGGGGAACGGUUCGCUUGCUACUGUUCAUGGUGUUGGCACGGUAGAUCUGAAGUUUACUUCGGGAAAGAUCGUGCAGCUGAGGAACGUGCAGCAUGUCCCUACAAUAAACAAGAAUCUCGUUAG
rnacentral:rRNA from 1 species